AAUCUUGCGCAAUGGGCGAAAGCCUGACGCAGCGACGCCGCGUGAGUGAUGAAGGUCUUCGGAUCGUAAAGCUCUUUCGUCCGGGAAGAACGGCCCGGAGGCCAAUACCCAUCGGGAGUGACGGUACCGGAAGAAGAAGCACCGGCUAACUCUGUGCCAGCAGCCGCGGUAAUACAGAGGGUGCAAGCGUUGUUCGGAAUUACUGGGCGUAAAGCGCGCGCAGGCGGGAUGGCAAGUCGGGUGUGAAAGCCCUCGGCUCAACCGAGGAAGUGCAUUCGAAACUGCCGUUCUUGAGUGUCGGAGAGGGUGGUGGAAUUCCCGAUGUAGAGGUGAAAUUCGUAGAUAUCGGGAGGAACACCAGUGGCGAAGGCGACCAUCUGGCCGAACACUGACGCUGAGGCGCGAAAGCGUGGGGAGCAAACAGG
rnacentral:rRNA from 1 species